rnacentral:lncRNA from 1 species
ACUCCAUAUCUGGCAAGGAAUGAAACAGACCCGUCGCAGCCUCCGCUUUGCAAAAUCUGUCCUCUCCGCCCAGCAGGAGCAGUCCGUGGCACCGCAAUCAGGGGUGGCGCCACCCCGCCCCGGGCCUCAGCGAAGACCUCCGCCCGGCCAACAUGGCUGGCGCCGCCUCUGCCACGUCAAGAGGAGGGGACGGGGCGUGAGGGCAGGAAGGGGGCAGGAAGGGGCGGGCGCAGAGUUACCAGGGCAGGCCACCGGACCCCUGAGCUUGCUUAAUAACCGGAGGAUUUGAGAAAGGCGCGCGGCGGGCGAAGACACCACUGCCGGAGCCCUGUACUAUCAACCAUGGUGAACCCCACCGUGUUCUUCAACAUCGUGGUUGACGGCGAGCCCUUGGGCCGUGUCUCCUUCAAGCAGUUUGCAGAAAAGUUUCCAAAGACAGCAGAAAACUCAUGCUCUGACCACUGGAGAGAAAGGAUUGGAUUAUAAGUGUUCCCUUCUUUCACAGAAUUAUUCCAGGGUUUAUGUGUCAGGGUGGUGACUUCACAUGCCAUAAUGGCACUGGUGGCAAGUCCAUCUACGGGGAGAAAUUUAAUAAUGAGAACUUCAUCCUAAAGCAUACAGGUCCUGGCAUCUUGUCCAUGGCAAAUGCUGGACCCAUCACAAACAGUUCCCAGUUUUUCAUCUGCACUGCCAAGACUGAGUGGUUGGAUGGCAGGCCAUGUGGUCUUUGGCAAGUUGAAAGAAGGCAUGAAUAUUGUGGAGGCCAUGGAGUGCUUUGGGUCCAGUGGCAAGACCAAGACCACCAUUGCUGACUGUGGAUAACUCUAAUAAGUUUGACUUGUGUUUUUAUCUUAACCACCAGACCAUUCUGUCUGUAGCUCAAUAGAGCACGCCUUCACCCCAUUUUUUCGCAGUAUCCUAUAAUCUUUGUGCUCUCACUGCAGUUUCCUUUGGGUUCCAUGUUUUCCUUGUUUCCGUCCAUGCCUAGCUGGAUUGCAGAGUUAAGUUUAUAAUUAUGAAAUAAAAACUAAAUAACAAAUAAAA